GCCAAGCUAGCUGGGGCUUCUGGGAAUUGAAGUCCCAAACACCAGGAGCACCAAAGUUUGGGAACCACUACACUAGGAGGAUUUCAUUGCAUUUCUACAACGUACCUAUGGAUUUGUAAACAUAGACUGUAAUGUAGGACUUCAGCCACCAUCCAUCCCCAUUAGCGCCUAUGGCAUUUCGGCUUACGAAGGCUUUUCGGGUUACGAAAGAGGCCGCGGAACGAAUUAAUUUCGUAACCCGAGGAAGCACUGUAUUUAGGCCCAGUACAAAACUCAAGCAUUACUUCCAAUUCAUUUUAUAGGCAAAAUUCUCUUCCAGUGGUCAUUAUUUUCAGCUGUUUCAAGAAGAACACUUAAAGGGAAACACAGACUCUUUGUUGCCAUAGAAAUCUUACGUCCACGGCCAAAUUGGAUGUUCCUCUUUUUGGGGAUAUUUUUCUUUUGGAAGAAUUGAUUCUGUGGUGGAGAUGUUGGCACCAUCACUGGAUUGACUGGUUGCCAAGAGUGGCUCAAUCCCUUUGUCCCCGAGCCGAGGGACUGGAGUGCCGUGAGGACUGAGGACUAUGGAUACACUUGCAUGUAGAUUCUCAACCGGACCCACCUUUGGCUGCAGCAAGUGUCCGAUAACAAGAAUGGGAAGGUCAUGGACAGGAUUUGGUUCAUCAAAGACCGGCACACAGUCCCGAAGCAUGGCACUAGCCUUUGAGUAUUGAAAGAUCCCUGAUGACCUCUCUCCUUUUUUGGGUCCGGGUUGGCUGCUGUGGGUUUUGCCUUCUGAAAUCCAUCAGUUUCUGAUGGAGAAGGAAGCAUAGGCAAUUGGAAAAGCAGCCUUCUCCCAGGACGCACAAAAUUACAAGCCAUAAUUCUCUGCAGAGAACAGACAACAAUUGUCAUGUCAUCAUAGACUGACAGAAAAGCUUGUAGGAUUUAUAUUCCUACAUCUAGUCUCAUCAAAUGGAAUGGAAACCACUGACCAUUUCUUCCCCAGAAAGAAGGAAGAAAUACAUCUUACCAUAGUGUCAUGUGGAUCACAGUUAUGUCAUAUGGAUCCCAAGGCAUAAGGAUAUCCUCUGCCAUGAAAUUCAAAAAGAUGGCAUGAAACUCAGGGAUCCAUUUGUCUAGCCUCUCUGUCUGGUCCAUGUAAUGUACAAUUACUGCAAGGAAUCUGAUUGCCUUCACCUGAUAAGAGGACAUUCUAGGCUCAAUAAGGGGAAACCUUUUGUGGCUCAUGAGGACAGACCUUGUGAGGGAAUGGUCUUGUUACCUUCAUCUCAAACUCUUUCCUCACCUCAACAGGAAAAGAGCAAGGUCCCCCACGAAUCGUACAAAUGAGUUUAGCACUCCCCACAGUAGGUCAAUACAUUCCCUGCCAAAAGAAAUGGACAAAGAGAGAUUACAUCUUUAUUGGGCUACUACACCCAGAAAGGAGAAGCUCAGGACCCCAGGGAUUUGUGUGAGAGGAGAAGGAGGAGAAACAAUCCAUCUACCCUUUGUCUACUUCCACUAAAUGUUGUAUAAAGAUAUCCAAAUAGUUCUCGGUGACAGUAGUGUCUGGUAUAUUCCAUGCCCUAUUAAAUGAGGAUCCAUACAGUUUGCACAGUCUGUGUAGAUGUGAUUUCAUCUGUCAGGGAACAAAAAAAAAAAGGGGGGGGGAGAAUUAGGUAACUAUUAGGUCUAUGGAAGAGGUGUCUUGGGGUCUUUAAGCACCCUGAGGAGGAAGAUGCCUUCUUGGUGGAGGCAGGCAAGCUAGUGAGCUUUGGUAUUUUUUCAGGGAAAGUGCCUUACCUCCAAUGAUGGUAAGGGAUCAGAACACAUUCAUCUUGGGUACUGUGUGGAGAAACACAAAGAGGCGAGAUUUCGAGUAACAACCAUCAGAUUUUUAUUUAUUUAUUUAUUUAUUAUCUGCCAAUACCCCACAAGGGCGUUCACCCCCUUUGACAUCUCCUUGGAGUCUGACUGUGUGAGACGAUCACUUUGUCUUGUACAGAAAAUUAAGACUUAACUUGUUCUCCCCAAUACGUUUUUUUUCCUCCCAUCUCUAUUUCUGCCAUU